AAUCGCUGCACGGGAUAUACAAAAUCCGGUUUAAACCGGUUUCUAUCUUAAAUUUCAAUAUAAAAACUUAAUAAAACAUAUACAGCCGUUAUUGUAUUUUACGCGAGACGCUGUGAGGCGUGCAGGGUGUCGUUGCUCAGGAGCACAAUAUUUACACAAACAUUCAGAUUUUUUGACAUUUUUUCGGGGUUUUUCUGCAGCCAAGAUGCCCAAAAGAAAGAUUGAUGGAGAGAAGGCCGCCAAAGGCAAGGAGGAGCCAACAAGACGCUCCGCAAGGUUGUCUGCU